rnacentral:rRNA from 1 species
UGCUUAACACAUGCAAGUCGAACGAUGAUGCCCAGCUUGCUGGGUGGAUUAGUGGCGAACGGGUGAGUAACACGUGAGUAACCUGCCCCUGACUCUGGGAUAAGCGUUGGAAACGACGUCUAAUACUGGAUAUGACUGCCGGCCGCAUGGUCUGGUGGUGGAAAGAUUUUUUGGUUGGGGAUGGACUCGCGGCCUAUCAGCUUGUUGGUGAGGUAAUGGCUCACCAAGGCGACGACGGGUAGCCGGCCUGAGAGGGUGACCGGCCACACUGGGACUGAGACACGGCCCAGACUCCUACGGGAGGCAGCAGUGGGGAAUAUUGCACAAUGGGCGAAAGCCUGAUGCAGCAACGCCGCGUGAGGGAUGACGGCCUUCGGGUUGUAAACCUCUUUUAGUAGGGAAGAAGCGAAAGUGACGGUACCUGCAGAAAAAGCACCGGCUAACUACGUGCCAGCAGCCGCGGUAAUACGUAGGGUGCAAGCGUUGUCCGGAAUUAUUGGGCGUAAAGAGCUCGUAGGCGGUUUGUCGCGUCUGCUGUGAAAUCCCGAGGCUCAACCUCGGGCUUGCAGUGGGUACGGGCAGACUAGAGUGCGGUAGGGGAGAUUGGAAUUCCUGGUGUAGCGGUGGAAUGCGCAGAUAUCAGGAGGAACACCGAUGGCGAAGGCAGAUCUCUGGGCCGUAACUGACGCUGAGGAGCGAAAGCGUGGGGAGCGAACAGGAUUAGAUACCCUGGUAGUCCACGCCGUANACGUUGGGCGCUAGAUGUAGGGACCUUUCCACGGUUUCUGUGUCGUAGCUAACGCAUUAAGCGCCCCGCCUGGGGAGUACGGCCGCAAGGCUAAAACUCA